AGCAGUAAAUAAUUUCAAAACAAAAAUACCUACAAUGCUAAAGUUUGUCCAGGCAGAAGCUGAAAAAAAGCGGAAAGAUAAUAAUCUGCAAACAAGAUUAAUGGAUAUAAUUAAAAACCACAGUAAUAAUAAAAAUAAUUAUAAUGAUUUUUUGACAAUAUUAUUGUGUUACAUGGCUAUAAUGAAGGAAAAUUUUGAGCUGAUGUUUAUUAUUUGAAGACACCUGUAGUCUUGAUGAAGUGCAAUCAAAUGAUAAAAUAAUAUCAACACCUGUUAUAGCUUGUCUCGGUGAUAUUUGGUCGAAUCCAAAAUGCUUUAUCUUUGUGGAUAAACAAUGUUUAUGGCGUGAACCAAUAGCAUUGGAAGAAGCAAUUUUGAUUAUGUUUAUGUCAUUUUUCGUAUUCAACAUUCAAUACCCUAAGGAAUUGGCUGGUAUUUUGCAGUAUCUGCAAAGUUCUAUGUUUGGUAUAAAUGAUGAAGGAAACAAAGUAAAAAAGAAAACUUCAGCCGAAAAAUUUGUUUCAAAAUUACUAAAACUAAUGAAGGAUUAUGACAGUUAUGUUAAAA